rnacentral:misc_RNA from 1 species
GAUGAAGAACGCAGCGAAAUGCGGUAAGUAAUGUGAAUUGCAGAAUUCAGUGAAUCAUCGAAUCUUUGAACGCACAUUGCGCCCGCCAGUAUUCUGGCGGGCAUGCCUGUUCGAGCGUCAUUUCAACCAUCAAGCCCCCGGCUUGUGUUGGGGACCUGCGGCUGCCGCAGGCCCUGAAAACCAGUGGCGGGCUCGCUAGUCACUCCGAGCGUAGUAAUACAUCUCGCUCAGGGCGUGCUGCGGGUUCCGGCCGUUAAAAAGCCUUAUUUACCCAAGGUUGACCUCGGAUCAGGUAGGAAGACCCGCUGAACUUAAGCAUAUCAAUAAGCGGAGGA